rnacentral:rRNA from 1 species
UACAGAGGGUGCGAGCGUUAAUCGGAAUUACUGGGCGUAAAGCGUGCGUAGACGGUUAUUUAAGUCGGGUGUGAAAGCCCCGGGCUCAACCUGGGAAUUGCAUUCGAGACUGAAUAGCUAGGGUACGGUAGAGGGAAGCGGAAUUUCCGGUGUAGCGGUGAAAUGCGUAGAUAUCGGAAGGAACAUCAGUGGCGAAAGCGGCUUCCUGGACCAGUACCGACGUUCAGGCACGAAAGCGUGGGAGCAAACAGG